rnacentral:rRNA from 1 species
UUCCUACGGGCGGCUGCAGUGGGGAAUUUUGCGCAAUGGACGAAAGUCUGACGCAGCAACGCCGCGUGGGUGAUGAAGGUCUUCGGACUGUAAAACCCUGUCGUCAGGGACGAAGGUUGGGAGGUUAAUAACCUCUUAGCUUGACGGUACCUGGAGAGGAAGCCCCGGCUAACUCUGUGCCAGCAGCCGCGGUAAUACAGAGGGGGCAAGCGUUAUUCGGAAUUAUUGGGCGUAAAGGGCGCGUAGGCGGUUUCUUAAGUCAGAUGUGUAAUCCCCGAGCUCAACUUGGGAACUGCAUCUGAGACUGGGAGGCUAGAGUACUGGAGAGGGUGGUGGAAUUCCUCGUGUAGCGGUGAAAUGCGUAGAGAUGAGGAGGAACACCAGUGGCGAAGGCGGCCACCUGGACAGUAACUGACGCUGAGGCGCGAAAGUGUGGGUAGCAAACAGGAUUAGAUACCCUGGUAGUCA